CACUUAGAGUUUUGUUUAUAAUUUCAGCGACCUCAGUUACAAUAAAGAUAUGAUGUGUGGAUGUCACCUGCCAGCCUUGGUAAAUUAUACUAAAUCAAAAUUCAGCAGAACUGUGCAUGUCCUAGGCGAGUGUCAGACAGAUCCAGGCAAUAACCAAAGCAAAAUUAUACCUAUAAUGAAAUACACGCAAUGUCAAAAUUACUCGUUAUUUCAACGCAAUUUGCAGUGUCAAACAUGUUCAGGUUUUACGGGCAAGGAAUCAGAAGUGACAAACUGUAUAGGCGAUGAGCCUGUAUGUGAAAAUAAGAUAACGAUGAAUGGUGUUACACUGGAGUUUGAAAAGUCCUGCAGCACAUACAGAAAAUGUCUUGCAGCUCAGAGAAACAAUACCUUUACAUGCAAUAAAUGGACCAGUGGCGCUUCUUGUAGGGAGAGAG
rnacentral:misc_RNA from 1 species